rnacentral:rRNA from 1 species
AGAGUUUGGUCCUGGCUCAGGACGAACGCUGGCGGCGUGCCUAAUACAUGCAAGUAGAACGCUGAAGAGAGGAGCUUGCUCUUCUUGGAUGAGUUGCGAACGGGUGAGUAACGCGUAGGUAACCUGCCUUGUAGCGGGGGAUAACUAUUGGAAACGAUAGCUAAUACCGCAUAACAAUGGAUGACCCAUGUCAUUUAUUUGAAAGGGGCAAAUGCUCCACUACAAGAUGGACCUGCGUUGUAUUAGCUAGUAGGUGAGGUAACGGCUCACCUAGGCGACGAUACAUAGCCGACCUGAGAGGGUGAUCGGCCACACUGGGACUGAGACACGGCCCAGACUCCUACGGGAGGCAGCAGUAGGGAAUCUUCGGCAAUGGGGGCAACCCUGACCGAGCAACGCCGCGUGAGUGAAGAAGGUUUUCGGAUCGUAAAGCUCUGUUGUAAGUCAAGAACGAGUGUGAGAGUGGAAAGUUCACACUGUGACGGUAGCUUACCAGAAAGGGACGGCUAACUACGUGCCAGCAGCCGCGGUAAUACGUAGGUCCCGAGCGUUGUCCGGAUUUAUUGGGCGUAAAGCGAGCGCAGGCGGUUUGAUAAGUCUGAAGUUAAAGGCUGUGGCUCAACCAUAGUUCGCUUUGGAAACUGUCAAACCUGAGUGCAGAAGGGGAGAGUGGAAUUCCAUGUGUAGCGGUGAAAUGCGUAGAUAUAUGGAGGAACACCGGUGGCGAAAGCGGCUCUCUGGUCUGUAACUGACGCUGAGGCUCGAAAGCGUGGGGAGCGAACAGGAUUAGAUACCCUGGUAGUCCACGCCGUAAACGAUGAGUGCUAGGUGUUGGAUCCUUUCCGGGAUUCAGUGCCGCAGCUAACGCAUUAAGCACUCCGCCUGGGGAGUACGACCGCAAGGUUGAAACUCAAAGGAAUUGACGGGGGCCCGCACAAGCGGUGGAGCAUGUGGUUUAAUUCGAAGCAACGCGAAGAACCUUACCAGGUCUUGACAUCCCGAUGCUAUUUCUAGAGAUAGAAAGUUACUUCGGUACAUCGGUGACAGGUGGUGCAUGGUUGUCGUCAGCUCGUGUCGUGAGAUGUUGGGUUAAGUCCCGCAACGAGCGCAACCCCUAUUGUUAGUUGCCAUCAUUCAGUUGGGCACUCUAGCGAGACUGCCGGUAAUAAACCGGAGGAAGGUGGGGAUAACGUCAAAUCAUCAUGCCCCUUAUGACCUGGGCUACACACGUGCUACAAUGGUUGGUACAACGAGUUGCGAGUCGGUGACGGCAAGCUAAUCUCUUAAAGCCAAUCUCAGUUCGGAUUGUAGGCUGCAACUCGCCUACAUGAAGUCGGAAUCGCUAGUAAUCGCGGAUCAGCACGCCGCGGUGAAUACGUUCCCGGGCCUUGUACACACCGCCCGUCACACCACGAGAGUUUGUAACACCCGAAGUCGGUGAGGUAACCUUUUGGAGCCAGCCGCCUAAGGUGGGAUAGAUGAUUGGGGUGAAGUCGUAACAAGGUA